GAUUAUUAUAAUUUACAGUAUUUGACACUCCUCCCAUUAAGAAGUAGGGGUUUAUGCCCUUUUGCGUUAAAUCUGGGAGGGUUUAUGACCAUUUCAACCAAUAGAGCAUGAAAGAAAUGAUGCUAUGUGACUUUUGAGGCUAGGUCAUAAAAGGCAGUGAGGUUUCUGCCUUGUUUCCUGGAACACACGUGCUUAGAAUCCUGAGCCACCAUGAAAGAAGUCCAACUACCCUAAGGCUGACACAUGAGGAGCCAGGCCACAUGCAGAACCCCAUGUGGGCCCUUGGGUUCUGGUCUUCAGGUUGUACCAAGCUCAGGCACCUGAUAUUCUUUUUAAAGAGACCUAAUUUUACCUACACAAAAUAGGAAACAUACCUUCGAAUCUAGUGUGGUCAACUUCUUCAAUGCUCUCCAAAUAGUAUUCACUAGCAGUAAACUGGUUUACCGAACCUCUGUACUGAAGUCCGUGAAAAUGUUUAAACUGAAAAGAUGCAGAGAGUAUGCUGCAUUCCUGCCUCAGCCGUGCUCUGACAGGCUCACGUGUCGUCUUCACCAUUAUCCUCCCCACACUAAGUGGAUUUACGUUCCAGGAAGUGGAAAAGGCAGUGAAGAAAUCAGAUCCCUGGCUUCCAGGAUGAGCCUGCUUGGCCCCGGAUAAUCCCAUUUCCCUACCAACGACUGGUUCGGGAAUGGAAGUGUAACCAGUUCUGGACAAGGAGACCUAAGUGGAAGCUAACUGGGCCACAUUUCUUUAAGAAGUUUUCUCCAUUCCGAGAGUCAGAGAAGAGACAACGUCUCUUCCUCGGGACACUGCUGUGUCUGAAGGCGGACACUGCGGUGUCUGAAGGCGGACACUGCUGUGUCUGAAGGCGGACACUGUUGUGUCUGAAGGUGAACACUGAGAACAGCUGCAGACAUCUCCUAGCAGCCUGAGAAUGAAGCCAACACCAGGGCUGGAGGAACAGUGCUGGAAAGUAGGUCCCUGAUGACGUUUUGAGCCACUCAGUCAACCCUGAAGCCUAUUCUAUCUUUGGGCGGCCUGUUAUAUGAGAAACAUUGUUUCAUUCAGAAUUUCUUUCUUGUAUUCAAAAUCCUGGAUAAUCACUGAUGACCCUGAACAAAAAGCCCAGAAAUCAGACUAUUUUCUAUUAGACGGUUUUUUAAAACUUGACAACUCUAAGAGUCCAGUGUUUCCUUCCUGUAAGAAGCUUUUUUUGAUUGGCUGAAACAAUA